UUCCAGUUUCGUUCAUCAUCAUCAUCAGCUAAUCACUAGAUAAAAUAUAAUGAUAAAUGAAGAGACGCAGGUGCACGUCAGCUAAUCACAUCCUUUUCUCCUUUUCUGAUGCUUUUGCCAUUUCGAAUAGU
ensembl:ncRNA K03H9.10 ncRNA